CACGUAGUUAGCCGUGGCUUCCUCGACAGGUACCGUCAUUGCAAGAGUUUAUUCACCUCUCGCACGUUCGUCCCCGUCAACAGAGCUUUACGAUCCGAAGACCUUCUUCACUCACGCGGCGUUGCUCCGUCAGGCUUGCGCCCAUUGCGGAAGAUUCCCCACUGCUGCCUCCCGUAGGAGUCUGGGCCGUGUCUCAGUCCCAAUGUGGCCGUUCAUCCUCUCAGACCGGCUACUGAUCGUCGCCUUGGUGAGCCGUUACCUCACCAACCAGCUAAUCAGACGCAGACCCAUCGACAGGUGAUAGCUUAUAAAUAGAGGCCAUCUUUCACGGAAGAGAGAUGCCUCUCCUCCGCUUCAUUCGGUAUUAGCAUUCCUUUCGGAAUGUUGUCCCCAUCCUGUCGGCAGGUUGUCUACGUGUUACUCACCCGUUUGCCACUAAGCUCAUAAAAGCAAGCUUUCAUUCGCUCCGUUCGACUUGCAUGUGUU
rnacentral:rRNA from 1 species